AUUGAACGCUGGCGGCAGGCCUAACACAUGCAAGUCGAGCGCUCGGCUGACGGAUGAGUGAUGUCUGGGAAACUGCCUGAUGGCGCGGGCUAACUCCUGGAACCGGUAGCUCAUACCGCAUACCCUCAGCUUUGUCCCUAUGGGAUUAGCUGGCGGGUGGGGUAACGGCUCACCUAGGCGACGAUCCCUAGCUGGUCUGAGAGGAGGACCAGCCACACUGGAACUGAGACACGGUCCAGACUACUACGGGAGGCAGAAGUGGGGAAUAUUGCACAAUGGGCGCAAGCCUGAUGCAGCCAUGCCGCGUGUGUGAAGAAGGCCUUCGGGUUGUAAAGCACUUACAGCGGGGAGGCGUUACCCGCAGAAGAAGCACCGGCUAACUCCGUGCCAGCAGCCGCGGUAAUAC
rnacentral:rRNA from 1 species